UCACUCAAGUGAAUCCCAUGGUGCCACCCUCUAUCCUUCCAGGUGAUUUCUCGGCUACAUCCAUUUGCUCAUUGUCUGCCUUGUCCAGGGUCCUUUAACCCCAUUCUGACAUUCUUAACUCUGAUGCCUCCACCUCCCCCACUCAGGCGCUCAUCUGCUCAUGCUUCGCCUCUCUGCCCAGCUCUCCUCUCUGCCCCUUCCACCCAGUGAUUCUCACCCGAGGGUGCAUGACCCCCAAGGAGGCCUAUCA